rnacentral:piRNA from 1 species
UGACAGUGGAUUCGAGUGAUGCAAGG